CAAAAACAUGUCUUAAUGAUUAUUAGUCUAUAUUAAGUCUAGCCUGCUCAAUGAUUAAAAUUAAAUAGCCGCAGUAUUUUGACUGUGCGAAGGUAGCAUAAUCAUUUGUCUUUUAAUUGGAGGCUUGUAUGAAUGGUUGGAUGAGGGAAUUACUUUCUUUAUAUUAUUUAAUUGAAUUUAAUUUUUAAGUUAGAAAGCUAAAAUUUUUAAGUGGGACGAGAAGACCCUAUAGAAUUUUAUUCAUUAUGUAUAAUUUUUAUUUUGGUAUUUAAUUAUUAAUUGUUUUUUAUGAAUUUUGUUGGGGUGACAUUGAGAUUUAUAUAACUCUCAUAUAUUAAUUUUUACUAUUAAGUAUUUUUGGGAUCCUGUUUUAUGGAUAAUUAGUUUAAAUUACCUUAGGGAUAAC
rnacentral:rRNA from 1 species